rnacentral:rRNA from 1 species
CCUACGGGAGGCAGCAGUAGGGAAUCUUCGGCAAUGGACGAAAGUCUGACCGAGCAACGCCGCGUGAGUGAAGAAGGUUUUCGGAUCGUAAAACUCUGUUGUUAGAGAAGAACGUUGCAUAGAGUGGAAAGCUCAUCAAGUGACGGUAACUUACCAGAAAGGGACGGCUAACUACGUGCCAGCAGCCGCGGUAAU